UCUCCCUCCCUACGUUUGUGCGCAUAGGAGUAGUAUUACAAAUCUGAGUUAGAUACACUUGGUCAGAAUGUUGGGCAAACCUUGCUGUCUUCUCCUUCCUCAUAGGCGCAAAGAGAAGAAGGCCAACCCGAAGACUGAAUACUUUCCCGUUAGCUUUCUUCUUCCCUUAGACACUGAAGUGAGAGUCUCCAAACUGAUUGCUCACUCCAUGGAUUAGAAGCAAACCAAAUCUCUCUUAUUCCUUGUGACCGUGAGCUCUUUUGAGAGUAACACAAAAGAAAACCUCCGAGACUUUACAACACUCUCAUCCCUUGCAGAAGCCUUGAACUUCAAAGGAAAGGGCAUUACUCUAGCAAGGAGUUGAGGUACUGCCUCUCCGUACAUGCACCUCACCAUUUCUCUCUGUCCCUCCAUGGAACUUCCCCUCGCAUGCAGCCGAAGCCAGAACUAUAGGAGCGCUGAGAGAGGGCAGAAGCUGCUACAUCUUUUGGUUGCUGCCCCGUGACCAUUUUAGAACCUUUGGUCACAUGUAAUAAGGUGCACGUAAUUCUUAUUGAGUGGGCUGAAUUUUGGUGCUGUUGAUUAUUGCAUGGACAUAAGGAGGACGUAAAAGCUUUUGAGGACUUGGAUAUUUGCUGUUGGCUUCUACUGUUUUGGGCAUGCUGCUAUUGAUGUGAUAUUUUAUGGAUGACUGUAUGAAAUUGAGAAGCUUUUAUUACUGUGAACUAUGAUUUUAUUAUUGCAUUACGAUUUUAUGACCAGCAAGUAUUUUGGAAACAGAUGUUGAAAUUUGCGAAAAGGAUUUUGACAUGUUAUCUAAAUGCUGAGUUUUGAAAAGUCUUUGCGAGCACUUUGUAAGUUGUCGUACUGGGGCUAUGGACCUCCGAUUUUCUUAUAAUUUAUAUGCACGCGUAGCCCCAGGUGUCUAGUUUCAUUAUAUAUAAACCUUGCAAAGAAAUUCUGAAAGAUCGAUUUAUUAUGAAUUUUACCAGCCAGGACAUUUGUGAUAUUUCCACUAUUUUCUCUCUUAUUUUGCGAGUUAUGUUUCGAGGGGCAAACGAACUCCAAACCACUAUUAUUUUAUAUGAACGUGAAGCCUCAGAUGUCUAGUUUCCAGAUUACAAAGAAUAUAUUUUUCAAUUGUUGAACUGGAUUUUAUAAGAAUUUUUAAAGACAGCAAGGUCUAUCAGGAAAUUUAUAUUUUUAGUAAGUUGAAGAAAUUUUGCGUAUUCUGAUUUUAGUAAUUAACCAGAUCCCCUCUUUAGUUUUAAUUGGCAAUGUAAAAGCGAUUUUUUUUCAGUCUCUAAAAUACUAUUAAAGAACUAUAAUUCCGCUUAGCAAACAACUCUCUUGGAGGCCUACAAGAGAGGGUGUUACAAGACCUCAGGCGGCAGGAGGCCGGAGCUGAGUUAGAUUGCUGUUAUAUUAUGCUGCCGUGAUUGGAUGCUGGAUUUGCAUGUUGUUUAUAUGCUUAUAGCUUCAGUUAUGUUCAUGGAGUUUUAUGUUGAGACUGGUUGCUUACUAUGUUUAUUUGGUGAGCAUGGGGAUUGUCCAUGACACAUAGUAUUGUUAUGUCUUGAGUCUUUUGGUGUUGUAAUAAUGUAUUAGGAUAUUGUCCGGAUUACGAGAUGUAAUACCGUGAUGUAGAUACACACUUUAUUUAUAUAUUGAGGUAUUUCAGUAGA